UUGGAGGGCAAGUCUGGUGCCAGCAGCCGCGGUAAUUCCAGCUCCAAUAGCGUAUAUUAAAGUUGUUGCAGUUAAAAAGCUCGUAGUUGAAUUUCGGGAUUCAUCCGUUGGUCGGGCUUCACGGUCCGUACUGGUGUGAUGGGUUCCUACCUUCUGAAUAACCGGCAUGCCAUUAAUUUGGUGCGCCGGGGAAGCAGAACUAUUACCUUGAAAAAAUUAGAGUGCUUAAGGCAGGCAAGUGCCUGAAUAGGUUAGCAUGGAAUAAUAAAAUAGGACGGCAUGGUUCUAUUUUGUUGGUUUCUAGGAUCACCGUAAUGAUUAAUAGGGAUAGUUGGGGGCAUUAGUAUUCAAUUGUCAGAGGUGAAAUUCUUGGAUUUAUUGAAGACUAACUUCUGCGAAAGCAUUUGCCAAGGAUGUUUUCAUUAAUCAAGAACGAAAGUUAGGGGAUCGAAGACGAUCAGAUACCGUCGUAGUCUUAACCAUAAACUAUGCCGACUAGGGAUCGGACGAUGUUAAUUUUUUAAUGACUCGUUCGGCGCCUUACGGGAAAC
rnacentral:rRNA from 1 species